UCAAAUAUUAAGAGCCCGGAUCACUUGAUCCAUGGAUUUUGGAGGAAGAGAUCCAAAGAGGAUCUCUCUCCCUUCUUUAGUAUGUGAAAGUAAAAUUUUAUCCUAUUUCUUUUCUUUUUAUAACUCACUUCAAAUCAUCCUAUUUUCUCCAAAAACAGGAGAGCGAUGUUAUCUGCACUAAAAUAUGUUUGCAAUGUAUGCAUGAGUUGUAAGAUAAAAUGCGUGACCCAUAUUUUUAGAAUGCAAAUAAAAGGGUAUUUUUUUUAUUUUAUUUUUAUUUUUCAUUGUAUGAUAUAUAUUUUUUGGCUUAAUUGUAGCAAUGGUUAUUAAAUUUUUUGUUUAGGUUAAUUUUAGUCUUUGAACUCUCAUAGCUUUAAUAAAUAAAAAAACGACUUUAGUAAAAAUGACUAAUGGUGCAACACAUUGUUAAAUUUGAGAACUAAAAAAAUUAAUAUGAGAGUUCAUGGCAUAGAAUUAAGCUAAAAGUAAAGUUCAAAAACCAUUAUUGCAAUCAAGCCUUCUGUUUUCAUCUUGUAUGAAGUUUGAUCCUCUAUCAAAAAUAUUUAUAGUUUUCGAAAAGCUAUUUCCACUCUCCUGUUCAAAUAAAUAUUAUUGUAUUAAUCUAUGUUAAAAAGACUAUUUCCACUCUCCUGUUCAAAUAAAUAUUAUUGUAUUAAUCUAUGUUAAAAAGACUAGUAUCCAAAGAUCUAUGAUAAUCCAAUUAUCUUGCAUACGACAAACAAGUUUUCCCUUGUAAGUUCAUAAUAAUCGUGUUUAUCAAACGAUAUUAUCAACACUAAAAGGAAAAGAGUGGACUUAGCCUCAUAAUGAGCUAGCAAUAAUGAAGUUAAAAUUUAUUUUUGGUGAAAAUCGAACUUAACAUCUCUCACUUACAAAUAAAAAGAAUAUCACUGAAUCGUAGUACUAAGUAGCAUAACGACCGUGUUUAUAAGUUUGUAGAUUACCUAUCCCUAAAUUUCGAUCCGAUAUUAAUCACAUUUGCAUCAUAUAAACAUGUAUAAAAUAACGAUCAUGUCCAUGCAUGCUUUUAAUUAUUUUUAUUGCAUAAUUGUAGCGCAAAGCUAUUGAUCAACCAAACGUACACACACCCACAUAAUACAUAAAUUAUUUGUAGACAUAUACCAAAAGAAAUGGGGUGGACAAUUUUCUAAUGCAUGAAAUGGCAUGCAGUUUUAGGUUAAUUAAUUAAUUAUAGAACAACUUUUUUCUACUUUAGCUAAUAAGAUAAGAAGAUUCUUUUAAUUAAUAUUUUGUUGUUUUAUUAUUAAGCAAGUUAGCAAUUGAAUAAAGGUUUAGGAAGGCAGCUUGGUAUUACUAAACAACAAAGUACAAUUGUCCCAAUGCUGCUCAAGACUUAAUACCAAAUAAUUAGUUAUUGUUUUUGUUCUCUUAGCAGCAACUGAGUCAUUUACAAUAUAAAUAUAAUGAAUAGGUGGUUUGUAGAUUAUUUUAAAAGAUGAUGUGUGAUAAUUUGAUUCGAAGCAAGAUCCCCACAACAACCACUGUUUGGAUUAUCAAUGGAUAUUUUGUGAAAUUUAUAACAAAAGAAUAAUUUAUGAGUAAUUGAACAAGGAAAAUUAUGCUUCUUAUUUUACAUAAUUUGAGUAGAAUAUAUAAUUCGGUAAUCGAAAGUUAGGGUUUGUGCUUAAUGGUGAAUGUUUCAUGCAAUUAAACUAAAAAAAUAUAGACCGUGUUUUAGUAGAACCUGGAUUGCAAUGAUGAAUCUUGUGAACGGAUUUCUUUCAAUUCCUCAAUGCAGCUGAUAACAUGUUAUCCUAUUUUCUUUGAGGGUGUGGCAAAGAGAGGAAAAAAAAAAGAGAUGGAGCAAUGAAUUAUGUGUGUUAUUCCUCAUGUCUUGUGCCUUUAUUUAUACAGAGAAAAACUUAGUCCCCAAGGAAUACAAUUCAAAUCAGGAAACUAUCUAAAAGAUAUUGGGGUAAAU
rnacentral:lncRNA from 1 species